GUAAAGGCAAAUUAUAUCAUCCUAGACUUCCUGGAAGGGGAAAAAAAUGAAGAGCUAGUUAAACUCUCCUAGUAGUUAAAAAUUCUUUUUGCCCAAGGGGAAUGUGAAAAAACAAUAGAGCUUUUAAGCAGUGCUGCUGUUCCCCUUGCCCAUGCUCAAGGUGGCAUGUAGAUCAGUAAAGACAGCAUUCUUUCCAGUGUGAAAGCAGUGAACAGGGUUCUCUUUAUAAAUAAUUUACUCCAUAAGAGUAUGUGAAUUAGUAUAUCACUGCUAUACUAACCACAACCAGUCAUGUAAAAGCACUAUGUGGAGGAUUAAAAUUGUUGCCUUAAAUAUGGUAGCGCAGGUCACAACUUUUUAAAGAGACCUUAAUGGAUUUUAGAAUUUUGGCUGCCCUUGCAGAAUCCUCGGAGGUCACUCUGAGUGACAGCUGGAGUGAAAAACUUUUUUGUGACCUUUGGAACAGUUUUAAACAGUGAGAUCAUGACAGGAAUCAAAUUUAAGAGAAGAGGUCAACUACAGAUUUAUUUUUAAGUUUCAAGAAGAUGUCUUGAGACACCAUUCUCUGUUGGCAGAAAGAUUCCUGAGCUAGGACUGGUUUGUCUCUUAAAACUUAAAUUUUCUUCCCUCUCAUAGGAAAAUGUAACAAGAUUAAAAUAGAAAUCUUGUAAUCUAAUAUUUAACUUUAUUUGUUUCCAUAUAUUCUUUUUGUGCACAUCCUCCUGCAUUGCAAGCAGUGCAUCAGGACUGCCAGAGCCUGUGCAUAUUCUUCCUGCCUACAAGCUGUGCUAAUGGGCCUCAGAAAGUAGAAACAGUCUUUUUUGGAUGUUGGAGAUCAGUAUCAGUGUAGUUAAGCAAUAGAAUUAGUAAGUGGAGAAGAGCAGCUAGUCCAUGCCAAAAAUACCCCAAAAAUCUCAGUAUCUCUACAGAUGAAAAAUGGAAGAGUCAGAGGAACCCAUUACAGACACAAAUAUAAGGCAGAUAUUGAAACCAUCAUAUUUUCUUCAUUUUAAGAAGGGGACAAGGACCCAUCAAACAGUCUGCCUGUUUUCUGCAUGGUCUUAUGUCUGCACAGUGUAUGGAGCAGGAGGGCCCUGUUGAAGCAGGAGUGCAUGUAAACACCUAAACACACAGGCUGUGUACAGCAGAUCACACCAUACACCUGUACAGCUCCUUCACAAAUGAAUGAAUGUGCACAAAUGCUGUAAGGCUUCAAGUUUGAAUAUUUAUCACAGAGAGAUUCUCGUAAUGGAAAUAUUUUUUUGAUUGAAAAAGCAUGAAAAAGGAAGAAUUGUCCAAAUGAAUGGUUAUUUUUGCCUACUGUACUCUUCUCCGAGGUUGGAGUUAGAUUGUUAUGAGCUCCAAGCGACUUUAAAAUCAAAUUUUCUUUGAUCACAAAGACACAUUCUAAACUGUGUGCCUAUUAUCUCUCUUGUGAUAUUCCAUAAAAACGUUUAAUG
rnacentral:lncRNA from 1 species